rnacentral:rRNA from 1 species
CCUACGGGAGGCAGCAGUGGGGGAUAUUGCACAAUGGGGGGAACCCUGAUGCAGCGACGCCGCGUGGGUGAAGGAGCGUUUCGGCGCGUAAAGCCCUAUCGGCAGGGAAGAAAAUGACGGUACCUGGCCAAGAAGCCCCGGCUAACUACGUGCCAGCAGCCGCGGUAAUACGUAGGGGGCAAGCGUUAUCCGGAUUUACUGGGUGUAAAGGGGGCGCAGACGGCAAUGCAAGCCAGGAGUGAAAGCCCGGGGCCCAACCCCGGGACUGCUUGUGAAACUGCAUGGCUGGAGUACAGGAGGGGCAGGCGGAAUUCCUAGUGUAGCGGUGAAAUGCGUAGAUAUUAGGAGGAACACCGGUGGCUAAGGCGGCCUGCUGGACUGUGACUGACGUUGAGGCCCGAAGGCGUGGGGAGCAAACAGGAUUAGAUACCCCUGUAGUC